GAUGAACGCUGACAGCAUGCUUAACACAUGCAAGUCGAUGGGGAAGUGGUGCUUGCACCAUGGUAACCAUGGCGGACGGGUGGGUAACGCGUAAGGAACUUACCUGCGGGACCGGGAUAACAGCAGGAAACUGCUGACAAGACCGGAUAAGGUCAUUAAGCUGCAUAGCUUAGUGAUGAAAGGAGACGCCUGCGGAGAGCCUUGCGUCCUAUUAGCUAGUUGGAGGGGUAACGGCCCACCAAGGCGAAGAUAGGUAGCCGGCCUGAGAGGGUGGACGGCCACAAGGGGACUGAGAUACGGCCCUUACUCCUACGGGAGGCAGCAGUGGGGAAUAUUGGACAAUGGGGGCAACCCUGAUCCAGCAAUUCUGUGUGCACGAAGACGGUUUUCGGAUUGUAAAGUGCUUUCAGCAGGGAAGAAGGAAGUGACGGUACCUGCAGAAGAAGCGACGGCUAAAUACGUG
rnacentral:rRNA from 1 species